rnacentral:lncRNA from 1 species
UAUGUCAACCAAGUCAGCAAGCCUCCUCCUCCUCCCUCCCCCUCCCCCCCUCUUUAGCCUCAAGCAUGGGUUAUUGAAGACCAAUUCUAACCCGGAUCUUCACGUGUACCACCAUUUAACAUCAUGAUAGAAAGGGUUAGAAGAAAGUCGCAACGAGUUUCCUGCAUGUCAAGCUUUUGAUUCUUAGACAGUUUUGAUGGUAAGUGUAAAUUGUAAGAUUAGUGAGGUUUCUCUUGAAAUAAAUACUAGACUUGUUUCUAUGGUUUCAAGACAGAUGACCUCUCCCUAUCACCUUGGGUGUAGAACAUCACAGAAAGAUGAGGCCAGUGGAAGGAUUCAGGAUGUUAUUACAUCAACAGAAAGUUGUACCAGCAAUCAUUUAACCAUACAUCUUGUAGGGGCUUCUUUGUUUCACGUGGUUUAUGGAUCCACUGAUAGAAAAAUAUUAUUUCAGGGAAAAUAUUGUUUUUAGGUUAUGUUUGUUAUCCAAAGGUCAAAUGUUUUGAUAGUUUUAUAUUUAUGCAAGUUAUUUGAAAUGCGAUCGACACGAUGUAACACUCUGGAUAUGUGAUCUAAAUAUACUUUAUCUUACAUCUGUACUAUGGGCCAUGUUUCCUGAAUUAUGAAAAGAACUUGAUUAGCAUGUUUUGAUAAUCAAAAAAUACUCCCAGUAUUCAGUACCUCAAAACAAAUACAAUAAAAAACAAAACAAAUUUUAGACUCUAGUGUGAAUUCAAGUUAUUAUUCUAACAAUCAGAACGAGAGUAAAACCAGACUCUAUCUAUUUCUUUGAAUCAAUAAAUCUUGCUCUCACUGUCCUCAACCCCCUGCAAUACUACUGAAAGCAUUUAAUUCGUUUUAUUCUUUUUGUAAACUUCUGGCCUGAUGUUACAGUAAUAAAACGUGUAAAAAUUGAAAUCUGUGUGACAUGUAAUUCGUUGGAGACAACACAGGGUGUGUUCACCACUCAGCAUAAUCAAAGAAACACGUUCAUUGUGAAAGUCAUCGACUUUGUCCAGUAGAUGGUCACUUCUUACGUCUCUUCAAAAUGUCCUAUUUGUUUUAAGUUUCUGUCCAUCUUUGUUUUAGUGUUGUUACAUGGUGUCAGUAAUUCCAGGGCGUUUCUCAUAGCAGUUGUUGAAUGUGGUAGGCAUGCAUUGUUCCGAAUGUCUGGUAAGUAUUUUAAUUGAAUGUGUACGUCCGUCUACUUGGUUAAUUCACUUCUAUUUAUUUAUGGUGAGUUGUUGAAUAGAAUGUGGAAGUUUAACUUGAUAACGUUGGUGAGUUUUUAAUAGAAUGUGUUAGUCCUUCUUUGAUGUGUGUACAGAUCUGUCUAUUUGUGGUGAGUUGUUGAAUAGAAUGUGGAGUAUAACUUGAUAAGAAUGAUGAGAUUUUUUAACAGAAUGUGUACAUCCUUCUGUUUGAUUGCUAUGGAAAUGGUAUUUACUGCUUGCUAUUAAGGUGAGUUGUUGAAUAGAAUGUGUCAGCAUAACCUGGUAACUGGUGAGUUGUUGAAUGUCAGUAGUAGCUUCUGAAGAUUUAUGGAUUUUAGCUUGUUCAUUCUUUCAUUGUAGAUUUAGUGCUGAUUACUGUUAUCACUGUAACCAUAUCUUUCGGCACCACAGAUUUGUAAUACAUCUUGUAUAGUAUUCUCUGCUUCCGUCUUAUGGUGAACUGUUGAAUGGGAUCAGUAACUGUUGCUUUAGUAUCUGAGACAGCUAUCUAUGUUCAAUUUGGUUGGUUGAUUGUUGAAUGAAUCUGUAAAACGGUUAUAAGUAUGGUGAGAAAGAAGACAGAAUUGUCAAUCCAUGUUUGCAGAGUUGAAAGAAUAUGAUAUCUUGCUGAAUUAGUAUGGUGGGAAGCUAUAUUGAAUCAGUAUACUUGUUGAAUGGUGUGGUGAUUGUUGAAUGUAAGUUCCCCAGUUAACAUUGAUGGAACCGGUUAUAUCUUCCCUUGUUUGGUAAGGUGUUGAAUGCAAUCAGUUAUCUUUUCUUAAAUGUAUGGUGAGAUGUUAAAUACAAUCAAAUAUCCUUUCUCAGCUUGUGACGAGAGGUUAAAUGCAAUCAGUUAUCAUUUCUUAGCUUGUAUGGUGAGAUGUUGAAUGCAAUCAAUUAUCCUUUCUUAGCUUGUAUGGUGAGAUGUUGAAUGCAAUCAAUUAUCCUCUCUUAGCUUGUAUGGUGAGAUGUUGAAUGCAAUCAGUUAUCAUUUCUGAAAUGGAUGGUGAGAUGUUGAAUGGAAUCAAGUAUCUUUUCUUAGCUUGUAUGGUGAGAUGUUGAAUUUAAUCAAUUAUCCUUUCUUAGCUUGUAUGGUGAGAUGUUGAAUGCAAUCAGUUAUCAUUUCUGAAAUGGAUGGUGAGAUGUUGAAUGGAAUCAAGUAUCUUUUCUUAGCUUGUAUGGUGAGAUGUUGAAUGCAAUCAGUUAUCAUUUCUGAAAUGGAUGGUGAGAUAUUGAAUGGAAUCAAGUAUCUUUUCUUAGCUUGUGUUUUGAGCUGUUAACUGGUACUGUAGUCCACCUUGGUGAACUGUUAACCAGUACUGUAUACCACCUUGGUGAGCUGUUGACUGGUACUGUAGUCCGCCUUGGUGAACUGUUAACCAGUACUGUAUACCACCAUGGUGAGCUGUUAACCAGUACUGUAGUCCACCAUGGUGAACUGUUAACUGGUACUGUAGUCCACCAUGGUGAGCUGUUAACUGGUUCUGUAGACCACCUUGGUGAGCUGUUGACUGGUACUGUAUACCACCUUGGUGAGCUGUUGACUGGUACUGUAGUCCGCCUUGGUGAACUGUUAACUGGUACUGUAUACCACCAUGGUGAGCUGUUAACCGGUACUGUAGUCCACCAUGGUGAACUGUUAUCUGGUACUGUAGUCAACCAUGGUGAGCUGUUGACUGGUACUGUAGUCCACCUUGGUGAGCUGUUAACUGGUACUGUAGUCCACCAUGGUGAGCUGUUAACUGGUACUGUAGUCCACCAUGGUGAACUGUUAACUGGUACUGUAGUCCACCAUGGUGAACUGUUAACUGGUACUGUAGUCCACCUUGGUGAGCUGUUAACCGGUACUGUAAUCCACCUUGGUGAACUGUUAACUGGUACUGUACUCAACCAUGGUGAACUGUUAACUGGUACUGUAGUCCACCAUGGUGAACUGUUAACUGGUACUGUAGUCCACCUCGGUGAGCUGUUGACUGGUACUGUAGUCCACUUUGUUAGAGUGACUGAUUUCUUCAACCUUUGUUUUCUUAAACGAGUUGUUUCUCUGUGAGUGAUGAGAACGUGCGUCAGGGAUGUUGUUACACAGAACUAGACGACUGCUGUGAGUAAAUGGUUCAUUUCUGAUGAAACUGUUUUAUACUUGUAUGUCUUGUGUUUUAUGCAUUUGUUCAAUAUUAAAAUUUAUAAUUCAUUUG